UGUAGUGACUUUGGGAGGCGCCGUGGCUUAACCGAACCUCCCCACUCGGCUGUCCCUUGUCUGGACCAAAACUGCUGACUGGCUGACCCUGAGGGCCACAUUUGCCCUCUGGGGUUUUUGAAAACCUUAAAUCAAAGUUGCUUUUCUCCCUGGCAACUCCCGAGGCUGCUUCCGCGGCCUCUGGGCUGUGGACAGAUAAGGACGUGAGUUGCCCCGACCAGGAGCUGUGGAUAGUAGACUCCGCUGAGUAGACCGUGAGCCGGAGUUGUGUCCGCUCUGGUGGCAGAGAAAGACAAGCCAAUGAUGCAGAGGUAUGGACAAGCUCCUGGAAGAAGAAACUACAGUU